UAAAUGUUGACAUGGUGCUAAGUGCUGU
rnacentral:sRNA from 1 species